rnacentral:tRNA from 1 species
GCGUAUGUGGCUCAUGGGUUUAAGUACCUGACUAGUAAUCUGCAGGUCCUGGGUUCGAAUCCCGCCAUAUACC